GAUGAACGCUGGCGGCGUGCCUAAUACAUGCAAGUCGAGCGAACAGACGAGGAGCUUGCUCCUCUGACGUUAGCGGCGGACGGGUGAGUAACACGUGGAUAACCUACCUAUAAGACUGGGAUAACUUCGGGAAACCGGAGCUAAUACCGGAUAAUAUAUUGAACCGCAUGGUUCAAUAGUGAAAGACGGUUUUGCUGUCACUUAUAGAUGGAUCCGCGCCGCAUUAGCUAGUUGGUAAGGUAACGGCUUACCAAGGCAACGAUGCGUAGCCGACCUGAGAGGGUGAUCGGGCACAACGGAACUGAGACACGGUCCAGACUCCUAAGGGAGGCAGCAGUAGGGAAUCUUCCGACAUGGGCGAAAGCCUGACGGAGCAACGCCGCGUGAGUGAUGAAGGUCUUCGGAUCGUAAAACUCUGUUAUUAGGGAAGAAAAAAUGUGUAAGUAACUAUGCACGUCUUGACGGUACCUAAUCAGAAAGCCACGGCUAACUACGUG
rnacentral:rRNA from 1 species